UACGAGGGGGGCAAGCGUUGUUCGGAAUUAUUGGGCGUGAAAGGGCGCAGUAGGCGGUGCGGUAAGCUCUGAUGUGAAAUCUCCGGGCUCAAACUCCGGGAGUUCCGUGCAUCAGAAACGUGCCGUGCUUGAGUGGUGGGAGAGGUGAGUGGAAUUCCCGGUGUAGCGGUAGAAAUGCGCAGAUAGUCGGGAGGAACACCGGUGGCGAAGGCGGUUCUCUGGGCCUUACCUGACGCUGAGGAGCGAAAGCGUGGGGAGCGAACAGG
rnacentral:rRNA from 1 species